rnacentral:rRNA from 1 species
CUGGCUCAGGAUGAACGCUAGCGGCAGGCUUAACACAUGCAAGUCGAGGGGCAUCGGGAGUAGCAAUACUUGCCGGCGACCGGCGCAAGGGUGCGUAACGCGUGAGCAACAUGCCCGUAUCAGGGGGAUAAUCCAUGGAAACGUGGUCUAAUACCCCAUAGUAAUUAUGUAAGGCAUCUUAUAUAAUUUAAAGCUUUGGUGGAUACGGAUUGGCUCGCGUGACAUUAGCUAGAUGGUAAGGUAACGGCUUACCAUGGCUACGAUGUCUAGGGGUUCUGAGAGGAAGGUCCCCCACACUGGAACUGAGACACGGUCCAGACUCCUACGGGAGGCAGCAGUGAGGAAUAUUGGACAAUGGAUGGAAAUCUGAUCCAGCCAUGCCGCGUGCCAGGAAGACGGCCCUAUGGGUUGUAAACUGCUUUUGUAUGGGAGCAAUAAGGGCUACGCGUAGUCCGAUGAGAGUACCAUACGAAUAAGCACCGGCUAACUCCGUGCCAGCCGCCGC